UGGGCUGGAUGAGUGGCGAACGGGUGAGUAACACGUGAGUAACCUGCCCUCUUCUUUGGGAUAACGGUCGGAAACGGCUGCUAAUACCGGGUAUUCACUGUCCUUCGCAUGGGGGGUGGGUGGAAAGGUUUUUUCUGGUGGGGGAUGGGCUCGCGGCCUAUCAGCUUGUUGGUGGGGUGAUGGCUUACCAAGGCUUUGACGGGUAACCGGCCUGAGAGGGUGACCGGUCACAUUGGGACUGAGAUACGGCCCAG
rnacentral:rRNA from 1 species